CAACUACCAAUUUUUUUUUCACAAAGUCUGACUUCAUCUCCUAAAUGAGUCACUACUUGUUGAGUAUAUUUAUAUACCAGGGAUCAGUGUGUUGUCUUGUUUGUUUUCUGCUUUAAUCUUCCGCUGAUCACGUUCUUCCAUUUGUCCCUGACAUCAGCUGGAGUACGUGUGUUUCGUGAAACACCUUCUCUCGCAUUUCCAGAAUUUUCCUCCAUGGGAUGUUCUUGUUAGCUACUACUGAAAUUUUCUCCACUCCCACCUGAGCCAAUGCAUAUCAACAACCAUUCUUAUCCAGUUCAAGAAAAAAGACGCGGUCUUUGGCUUAGCCACUUUGGUUGUUGCGCUGAAGUUUCUCUCCUGGUUCUUCAUCUUCCCUGAUGGGGUGGUUACUUGAGCCGAUGAAGAUAUCUGCUCAUUACAUCUUCUCCAACUCCGCCUUAGUUUAUUCAGUUGAUGAGAUUUCACUAUCAAUAUCCCUUAAUUCUAUCCGUCUUCUUGCUCUUCGUCUACGUCUUCGCUUCUCAGUCUGUUCGGAAUGGUGGUGUUCUUUCCCUGAAAAUGAUUCUUGCAUAGACGAAAACGGUGAACCAUCUCCCUUUUCCCUGCACCUGUAUUGACAUUAGUUUGAUCUCUAUCUGUUUCGUCAUCGUCAGCAUCUUCAAACUUUUCUUUAGCGAACCUCUCUUUGUUUUCUGAUACUUCUAACUUCUCUUUAUCCUCUUCUGGUUGAUUUGGUUUCCUCAGUUAAUGGUAUGUUCUCACCUCUUUCUAUU